rnacentral:rRNA from 1 species
AUUGAACGCUGGCGGCAGGCCUAACACAUGCAAGUCGAGCGGAUGACGGGAGCUUGCUCCUUGAUUCAGCGGCGGACGGGUGAGUAAUGCCUAGGAAUCUGCCUGAUAGUGGGGGACAACGUUUCGAAAGGAACGCUAAUACCGCAUACGUCCUACGGGAGAAAGCAGGGGACCUUCGGGCCUUGCGCUAUCAGAUGAGCCUAGGUCGGAUUAGCUAGUUGGUGGGGUAAUGGCUCACCAAGGCGACGAUCCGUAACUGGCCUGAGAGGAUGAUCAGUCACACUGGAACUGAGACACGGUCCAGACUCCUACGGGAGGCAGCAGUGGGGAAUAUUGGACAAUGGGCGAAAGCCUGAUCCAGCCAUGCCGCGUGUGUGAAGAAGGUCUUCGGAUUGUAAAGCACUUUAAGUUGGGAGGAAGGGCAGUAAGCUAAUACCUUGCUGUUUUGACGUUACCGACAGAAUAAGCACCGGCUAACUCUGUGCCAGCCGCCGCCGUAACAC